GAUGAACGCUGGCGGCGUGCCUAAUACAUGCAAGUCGAGCGAACAGACGAGGAGCUUGCUCCUCUGACGUUAGCGGCGGACGGGUGAGUAACACGUGGAUAACCUACCUAUAAGACUGGGAUAACUUCGGGAAACCGGAGCUAAUACCGGAUAAUAUAUUGAACCGCAUGGUUCAAUAGUGAAAGACGGUUUUGCUGUCACUUAUAGAUGGAUCCGCGCCGCAUUAGCUAGUUGGUAAGGUAACGGCUUACCAAGGCGACGAUGCGUAGCCGACCUGAGAGGGUGAUCGGCCACACUGGAACUGAGACACGGUCCAGACGCCUGCGGUAGGCAGCAGUAGGGAAUCUUCCGCAAUGGGCGAAAGCCUGACGGAGCAACGCGGCGUGAGUGAUGAAGGUCUUCGGAUCGUAAAACUCUGUUAUUAGGUAAGAACAAAUGUGUAAGUAACUAUGCACGUCUUGACGGUACCUAAUCAGAAAGCCACGGCUAACUACGUG
rnacentral:rRNA from 1 species